CCUACGGGAGGCAGCAGUGGGGGAUAUUGCACAAUGGGGGGAACCCUGAUGCAGCGACGCCGCGUGGGUGAAGGAGUGCUUCGGCAUGUAAAGCCCUAUCGGCAGGGAAGAAGCAAGACGGUACCUGACUAAGAAGCACCGGCUAACUACGUGCCAGCAGCCGCGGUAAUACGUAGGGGGCGAGCGUUAUCCGGAUUCACUGGGUGUAAAGGGAGCGUAGACGGCCCAGCAAGCCAGGGGUGAAAGCCCGGGGCCCAACCCCCGGACUGCCCUUGGAACUGCAUGGCUUGAGUGCGGGAGGGGCAGGCGGAAUUCCUGGUGUAGCGGUGAAAUGCGUAGAUAUCAGGAGGAACACCGGCGGCGAAGGCGGCCUGCUGGACCGCGACUGACGUUGAGGCUCGAAAGCGUGGGGAGCGAACAGGAUUAGAUACCCCAGUAGUC
rnacentral:rRNA from 1 species